AGCAUGGUGGUUUAGUGGUUAGCAUGUUUGCCUCACAACUCUGGGGUUGGGGGUUCAAAUCCUGCCUCUGCCC